rnacentral:lncRNA from 10 species
UUAGGGCCAUGUGUUGCUUAGAAUCACAUUUCUUUUUUUUUUUUUAAUUUUCUUUUUGUAUCAAAGAGCAUUCAGAUAGGAUGAAAUUCCUAAAAACUUCUAAAGUUAAACCACUUCUGAUUUCAUAAAAAUGGAUAUUAAUUUUUAUUGUGGUAAAAUGUAUAUAAUAUAAAACCUACCAUUUUAAUCAUUUUAAGCAUUCAAUUCAGUGGCAUUAAGUACAUUUACAAUGUUGUACAACCAUCAUCACUAUCCAUUUCCAGAAUUUUUUCAUCAUCCCAAACAGAAACUCUGUAAAUGGAUGUUAAUUUUUGAAGAAAAACUUCGAAUUUGAGUAGUAUUUCCUUACACAAAAUUUAAAAAUCAAAUUACAUUUAGGGAUGAUGACAAUGAUGACUGUACAACUUGUAAAUAUACUAAAAACCAUUG